UUUCCGUAGGUGAACCUGCGGAAGGAUUAUUCAUAAUAAGUGUUUUAUGGCACUUUUUUAAAUCCAUAUCCACCUUGUGUGCAAUGUCAGGGUUGAUUUUUCUCUCGAGAGGAUCAACCCCAAACAUCAACUAUAUCUCAACUCUUUGUCUGAAAAAUACUAUGAAUAAAACAAUUCAAAAUACAACUUUCAACAACGGAUCUCUUGGCUCUC
rnacentral:misc_RNA from 1 species